rnacentral:rRNA from 1 species
GUGAGGAAUAAGCCACCGAAAGUGGUCUAAUACUUCAUAAUAUCCAUCUCGUAUGGAUUAAAGCUUUAUGCGCUUUGGGAGGGGCCUGCGUAACAUUAGCUUGUUGGUGAGGUAAAAGCUCACCAAGGCUUCGAUGUUUAACUGGUUUGAGAGGAUGACCAGUCACACUGGGACUGAGAUACGGCCCAGACUCCUACGGGAGGCAGCAGUAAGGAAUCUUCCACAAUGGGGCAACCCUGAUGGAGCAAUACCGCGUGCAGGAUGAAGCGUUUCGGCGUGUAAACUGCUUUUAUCACCGAAGAUUAUGACUGUAGGUGAAGAAUAAGGACCGGCUAACUACGUG